GGCACUUUGGCGGAGUGGUUAACGCGAUGCCCUGCUAUACUUUGGCAUAGACAAGGCAUUCCCUUCGGGGGCGUGUGUUCGAAUCACACAGGUGUCG
rnacentral:tRNA from 1 species